AGCGGCGAACGGGUGAGUAACACGUGGGCAACCUGCCCUGUAGACUGGGAUAACAUCGAGAAAUCGGUGCUAAUACCGGAUAAUCUUGAGGAUCUCAUGGUCCUCUUGUAAAAGAUGGCUCCGGCUAUCACUACGGGAUGGGCCCGCGGCGCAUUAGCUAGUUGGUGAGGUAACGGCUCACCAAGGCGACGAUGCGUAGCCGACCUGAGAGGGUGAUCGGCCACACUGGGACUGAGACACGGCCCAGACCCCUACGGGAGGCAGCAGUAGGGAAUCUUCCGCAAUGGACGAAAGUCUGACGGAGCAACGCCGCGUGAGUGAUGAAGGGUUUCGGCUCGUAAAGCUCUGUUGUUAGGGAAGAACAAGUACCGUUCAAAUAGGGCGGUACCUUGACGGUACCUAACCAGAAAGCCACGGCUAACUACGUGCCAGCAGCCGCGGUAAUACGUAGGUGGCAAGCGUUGUCCGGAAUUAUUGGGCGUAAAGCGCGCGCAGGCGGUCUUUUAAGUCUGAUGUGAAAGCCCCCGGCUCAACCGGGGAGGGUCAUUGGAAACUGGGGAACUUGAGUACAGAAGAGGAGAGUGGAAUUCCACGUGUAGCGGUGAAAUGCGUAGAUAUGUGGAGGAACACCAGUGGCGAAGGCGACUCUCUGGUCUGUAACUGACGCUGAGGCGCGAAGGCGUGGGGAGCAAACAGAAUUAGAUACCCUGGUAGUCCACGCCGUAAACGAUGAGUGCUAGGUGUUAGGGGUUUCGAUGCCCUUAGUGCCGAAGUUAACACAUUAAGCACUCCGCCUGGGGAGUACGACCGCAAGGUUGAAACUCAAAGGAAUUGACGGGGGCCCGCACAAGCAGUGGAGCAUGUGGUUUAAUUCGAAGCAACGCGAAGAACCUUACCAGGUCUUGACAUCCUUUGACCUCCCUAGAGAUAGGGAUUUCCCUUCGGGGACAAAGUGACAGGUGGUGCAUGGUUGUCGUCAGCUCGUGUCGUGAGAUGUUGGGUUAAGUCCCGCAACGAGCGCAACCCUUGAUCUUAGUUGCCAGCAUUUAGUUGGGCACUCUAAGGUGACUGCCGGUGACAAACCGGAGGAAGGUGGGGAUGACGUCAAAUCAUCAUGCCCCUUAUGACCUGGGCUACACACGUGCUACAAUGGAUGGUACAAAGGGCAGCGAAGCCGCGAGGUGGAGCCAAUCCCAUAAAGCCAUUCUCAGUUCGGAUUGUAGGCUGCAACUCGCCUACAUGAAGCCGGAAUUGCUAGUAAUCGCGGAUCAGCAUGCCGCGGUGAAUACGUUCCCGGGCCUUGUACACACCGCCCGU
rnacentral:rRNA from 1 species